UCUAGAACUCAAGAUAUGAGCUGAAAACUGAACAGUGUUUGAGCUGCAAGACAGGUUCCGACUUCUCCGUUGUUGCUAAGAUUUAAACUUAAAAACGGCAGAAUUGAGUUUUGGACUCUUCAUGAAAGGUUUAGGUCUAUGUCUUAGCUUUCCAUC
rfam:Populus trichocarpa scaffold_5_contig_280, whole genome shotgun sequence.